GCACUGUACUGAACCUGUGAUGCAUUGAUUGUGGUGUCACAGGUCAAGCAGCAGUGCUAUAGUAUAUGCUUGUUAUAACUGGAACUUGUCAGCUUUGAACACUGACUUGUUUUUUUAAGCACAGGCGACAUAA